rnacentral:rRNA from 1 species
GAACGCUAGCGGCAGGCUUAACACAUGCAAGUCGAGGGGCAGCGCGUUGUAGCAAUACGAUGGCGGCGACCGGCGCAAGGGUGCGUAACGCGUGAGCAAUCUGCCCGUAUCAGGGGGAUAAGCGAUGGAAACGUCGUCUAAUACCGCAUAACAACCGAGGAGGCAUCUCCUUGGCUUGAAAGCUUCGGUGGAUACGGAUGAGCUCGCGAGACAUUAGUUAGUUGGCGGGUAACGGCCCACCAAGACCGCGAUGUCUAGGGGAACUGAGAGGUUGGUCCCCCACACUGGAACUGAGACACGGUCCAGACUCCUACGGGAGGCAGCAGUGAGGAAUAUUGGACAAUGGCCGGAAGGCUGAUCCAGCCAUGCCGCGUGAAGGAUAAGGUCCUAUGGAUUGUAAACUUCUUUUGAGUGGGAGCAAUAAGGGCGUCGAGACGUCCGAUGAGAGUACCAUUUGAAUAAGCAUCGGCUAACUCCGUGCC